rnacentral:lncRNA from 1 species
UUUUCUUAAAAAUAUUUAAAAAGGAGAGUUUGUGAAGAAAAUUAAACUAAGAAAUUUAAUAAAAAUGCAAUUGAUAAUGAUAUCAGUUGGAAGAAACCUAGGGCAAGGAAUUCACCACUAACUCAGGUAUAAGGGUUAUUUGUAAUUUAUUUCAUUCUUGGAUUAUUAUGCAAGUCGGCUACAAGCCUAAUAAGCAUUUGAAUAAAAUUUUAAAAAAGUAAUUUAGGCAUAGUCCAUCUUUAGUUAGCAUGAAAUGUCUACCCUAAUCUAAGGUGGCAGCACAUCGCAUCUUCCUUAAGCAUGAACUAUCUUAUUUUUACUUCAAUGAUAAUGAAAAACUUUUGUUUAGACUUCAUACUUGAAAUCAUAGAAUUUAAGCAUGAGGUAAAAGGAUAUUUAUUAAGAACAAGAAUGUCUAUACAAUUCCAAGAACAUGAAAUUAAAUAAACAAAAUCCGUUUUCCUUUGUUAGGGCUGCAUCCAGCCCUAAUGAAGAGAUUAGGCUUCCAUGCAGUGGUGGACGGCAGCAGCACUGUAGUGAACUUCCAUCACGGCUACCUCCAUCUCUUCGACAUCUCCUUCCGGUGGAGCCUCUACUGAAAACGGCUCCCUCUCAGCUCUUCUGGGAAAUCAUUCCCAGAAUACCCAAACCAUUCUCCCUCUUCAAGUAAUAUCUUCC